AUUAAACACAUCCCUAAUGAUGACGUCUACUGCACACAUGAGUUUUCUUGUCUCUCGUGGUCUCUGGGUGAGCUUCACUUCCUGUCCUGUCCUGUGAUUGCCUGAGUGUUCCCACCUGUGUCCAAUCACCUGCACCUCCCUUGUGUAUUUAAGCCCCGUGUGCCUGUUGUCCUUGGUCGCGUCAUUGUCAAUGUUACCCAUCGUUGGAGCACGUCCUGCCCUGGUUUGAAUAAAGAGCACAUUUUUCGAGAAGCCUGCGUUUGAGUCCUUCCUCCUUCCGCCUGCAACCUGCUCCAGCACCCCAUCCUGACACUCUGAUCCUUAACUCUCGCGUUACUGGACGACGAAGGGAACAAAAUUUCCAUUGAGAUCGCCAUCAUGUUGAAGCUGGCGGCCAAAAAUAAAAAGGAGUAUGUGAGGAACUACAUCGGAGGAAGUCCAGUGAUGAGCUACGGGACCCCAAUUCUCCAAAAUAGGAUUACUGAAUAAAUACAUUCGUGUAUGAUCUAAACCAAAUGAAUUCUUCUUUUCUUUAGACCACAAAGAUUAAUUAAUCUGUUCUUUAUUAUUACUUUUUGACCUAUGUUAAGCUACAGUGUUCUUGAGUUAAUGAGUUUGAAUAUAAAUGACACAUGGGAGUUUGAUUGCUUUUCAACUAAUAUUUUAAUCCUGAUUUAAAGUGUUCAUUCAAGUAUAUUAUCGUGGUUAACAUGAUCAUUUUCAUUAGAAUUAAGUCAGCCAUUUAAAAGCACAUACUAAUUCUAUUCAUUACAAAUAAACAAACUUUAUUUAUAUGAUUCAGGCACAAACAAUAAAAAGAGAACUUGGGGUGAAGAUGUCGCUGCUGAAGCAUUUUAAUCACUAUUUCAAUCAUGUUGUCUUUCAGAGAAGAGAGAAAAAUUGAUCCUAAAAUGUAA